AAUGGACGAAAGUCUGACCCAGCCAUGCCGCGUGCAGGAUGACUGCCCUAUGGGUUGUAAACUGCUUUUCUACGGGAAGAAACACUCAUACGUGUGUGAGCUUGACGGUACCGUAGGAAUAAGGAUCGGCUAACUCCGUGCCAGCAGCCGCGGUAAUACGGAGGAUCCAAGCGUUGUCCGGAUUCAUUGGGUUUAAAGGGUGCGUAGGCGGACUACUAAGUCAGGGGUGAAAUCUUGCGGCUCAACCGUAAAAUUGCCUUUGAAACUGGUAGUCUUGAGUUCGGUCGAGGUGGAUGGAAUGUGUCAUGUAGCGGUGAAAUGCUUAGAUAUGACCCAGAACACCAAUUGCGAAGGCAGUUCACUAGACCGACACUGACGCUGAGGCACGAAAGCGUGGGGAGCGAA
rnacentral:rRNA from 1 species